AAAUAAGAAGCAAUUUGCAUUUAGUUUCGACCUAAAAGAUAGAGUAUAUAAUACUCCUUAUUUAUCUUA
rnacentral:tRNA from 1 species